GAUGAACGCUAGCUACAGGCUUAACACAUGCAAGUCGAGGGGAAACGGCAUUAAGUGCUUGCACUUUUUGGACGUCGACCGGCGCACGGGUGAGUAACGCGUAUCCAACCUUCCCAUGACUAAGGGAUAACCUACCGAAAGGCAGACUAAUACCUUAUGGUCUUCACUGACGGCAUCAGAUGUGAAGUAAAGAUUUAUCGGUUAUGGAUGGGGAUGCGUCUGAUUAGCUUGUUGGCGGGGUAACGGCCCACCAAGGCAACGAUCAGUAGGGGUUCUGAGAGGAAGGUCCCCCACAUUGGAACUGAGACACGGUCCAAACUCCUACGGGAGGCAGCAGUGAGGAAUAUUGGUCAAUGGGCGAGAGCCUGAACCAGCCAAGUAGCGUGCAGGAUGACGGCCCUAUGGGUUGUAAACUGCUUUUGUAUGGGGAUAAAGUCAAUCACGUGUGAUUGUUUGCAGGUACCAUACGAAUAAGGACCGGCUAAUUCCGUG
rnacentral:rRNA from 1 species